AGUGAACGCUGGCGGUAGGCCUAACACAUGCAAGUCGAACGGCAGCACAGUAAGAGCUUGCUCUUACGGGUGGCGAGUGGCGGACGGGUGAGGAAUACAUCGGAAUCUACUUUUUCGUGGGGGAUAACGUAGGGAAACUUACGCUAAUACCGAAUACGACCUACGGGUGAAAGCAGGGGAUCUUCGCACCUUGCGCGAUUGAAUGAGCCGAUGUCGGAUUAGCUAGUUGGCGGGGUAAAGGCCCACCAAGGCGACGAUACGUAGCUGGUCUGAGAGGAUGAUCAGCCACACUGGAACUGAGACACGGUCCAGACUCCUACGGGAGGCAGCAGUGGGGAAUAUUGGACAAUGGGCGCAAGCCUGAUCCAGCCAUACCGCGUGGGUGAAGAAGGCCUUCGGGUUGUAAAGCCCUUUUGUUGGGAAAGAAAAGCAGCAGGUUAAUACCCCGCUGUUCUGACGGUACCCAAAGAAUAAGCACCGGCUAACUUCGUG
rnacentral:rRNA from 1 species